rnacentral:rRNA from 1 species
GCGUCUUAAGCAUGCAAGUCAAACGGGAUGUAGCAAUACAUCUAGUGGCGAACGGGUGAGUAACGCGUGGAUGAUCUACCUACGAGAUGGGGAUAACUAUUAGAAAUAGUAGCUAAUACCGAAUAAGGUCAAUUAAUUUGUUAAUUGAUGAAAGGAAGCCUUUAAAGCUUCGCUUGUAGAUGAGUCUGCGUCUUAUUAGUUAGUUGGUAGGGUAAAUGCCUACCAAGGCGAUGAUAAGUAACCGGCCUGAGAGGGUGAACGGUCACACUGGAACUGAGAUACGGUCCAGACUCCUACGGGAGGCAGCAGCUAAGAAUCUUCCGCAAUGGGCGAAAGCCUGACGGAGCGACACUGCGUGAAUGAAGAAGGUCGAAAGAUUGUAAAAUUCUUUUAUAAAUGAGGAAUAAGCUUUGUAGGAAAUGACGAAGUGAUGACGUUAAUUUAUGAAUAAGCCCCGGCUAAUUACGUGCCAGCAGCCGCGGUAAUACGUAAGGGGCGAGCGUUGUUCGGGAUUAUUGGGCGUAAAGGGUGAGUAGGCGGAUAUAUAAGUCUAUGCAUAAAAUACCACAGCUCAACUGUGGAACUAUGUUGGAAACUAUAUGUCUAGAGUCUGAUAGAGGAAGUUAGAAUUUCUGGUGUAAGGGUGGAAUCUGUUGAUAUCAGAAAGAAUACCGGAGGCGAAGGCGAACUUCUGGGUCAAGACUGACGCUGAGUCACGAAAGCGUAGGGAGCAAACAGGAUUAGAUACCCUGGUAGUCUACGCUGUAAACGAUGCACACUUGGUGUUAACUAAAAGUUAGUACCGAAGCUAACGUG